rfam:Dipodomys ordii contig_16296, whole genome shotgun sequence.
GGUGGCUCAGUGGUAGAGCGCUUGCUUUGCAUGCAUGAGACCCUGGGUUCAAUUCCUCAGCACCA